GCAAUGUGCUGUCAAAACUUUCUAGCUGCCUUGUCUGGCUGGCUGUCACCUGCCUCAUCACCCAGCCUAGGCACACUCCCAAUAAGUUAGUUCAGGUCUCAGGAAUGCCCCAGCCCCUUUGAGGGAGGGGCUAAUGACAUCAAGGGAGUAGGCGUGUGAGGCUUUCUGAGAAGCAGCCUUUGUGUCUCUGAGCAUGAAGGUGAUUUGCCAGCUUUCUGAGCAACCAGCACAUGUUCUGGAUUUCUGCUGAUGUACUGCUGUUCCCUUCCAGGACCCCAACAUGAUGAGCAUUGUUGCCUUUCCGGGCCAAAACGAUUUUACUCGGGUUAGUCAAGAUGAGGUUCUCGUACUGCCAAGUCUUGUAGCUGAGAUCCCACACCAGCCAUUGGCCCCGCUGAUUUCCCUGAAGCCCAGAAGAGCGUCGGCACCUUGGGGUGGGGGUUGCCGCCGAGUAAGUGUGCUGGAUCCAGUGUUCCUGGCUCGGCGGAGGGUUUCUCAGGCCAGUCAUCAGUCGAUGGAAACCGAUCAGGCUAGAGACAAGGAAGCUGGUCGUGGCAGGUGAGCCUUGUCAAGAAGUGUGGCUGAGGUCGUGCCCUCAGUAUCGCCCUCAUUAUCACUUGUGAUAAUGGGUGAUGCCUCCCUUGUCUGGGGUGCAUGUGCUGAUGCCAAACACCCCUGGAGACACUGUCCUGCUGGACACGAAGACCUCCUACUGAACUGCUGGGUGCUGCCAGAGAACAGACUGUGAUCCCACCGACACAAGCUGACACUUGGCUCCCACAAGCUCAGACUGCUGGCUGUCCUUUUUAGGCACCUGUCUAUAAUCUGGGAGAAGAGCCAUAUGCUACUGAAGCACCCCAUAUCUCCAGUUCCGGAAGGUUUGAGGGUCUCUGCAACUACUCCCGAGCCCUCAGAAGUGGUAGGUACAUCCUAGGGUUUUGCCAGUCCUGUGUCAUGGCCUGGGCUCUGGGCCAGGGCAAGAGAGGCAGCGCAUGGUCCCAGCCCUCCUGCUGUGCCCA
rnacentral:lncRNA from 1 species